CCCAACCCCAGACUGCAAGUAGCCACUCAUUCAUUCCACAAAUACUCUCUGAGGGCCUGUUCUAUGCAGGCUAUGUGCCAAGGGUUUACACCCUAGGAGCAGUGCCACCCCAGUAUCUGUCCCCCGUGACCAGUGACUGCCCCUCCUCUAUAAUAUCUAUUGACUGACCUCUCUGACCUCACCUCAUUUCUUUCCUCCAGUGCCCCGGCUCCAGCAGUCCAUGGAUCCUGCCCCCUUUGCAUGUCCCUCAGCCUGCCUGCCCUCCGUGUCCUUCCUGCCCAGCCUACAAUUCAUGGUCAGGCCCCACCCCCACCCCCUCCUGCGGUCCUGACAAAACCCCAACACUGGUCAGUCCCACUGCUCCACCUCCACCGCAUCUCACCUGCACUUGCGCAGCUCAAUGUCACACCACCUUGCCAGCUGCUUCCCUUUCAACUCAUGACACAAAACCCAAGAGGGCCCUUAGUGGAUGUCAGGAUCAGUCACUGUCCCCAUGACCCUUGCACCCCUCUUUUCUCCUCUCUAUAAAAUAAGGGUGAUAAUAUUUCUGUCUCCCGGGGCUGUUGGCAGCAUCAGUAGUAGGUCCUUGCUCGGGGGCAGCUACUGGGGUUAGUUCCUCUGGUGCUCAGUCCAAGAGUUCCCUGGUGUCUUGGUGUCCGCGGAGUCCCACCCUGCGGUCAUUUAUUUUGUUCCGCUGGUUGGGCAGGCCUGGGCUCUCUGCCAGAUCUGAUCAUCCUCCCAGAGACAGGAGGGAACGGAAUGUGGCACCAGGCAGUAAGACGCAUGGCUGAGCUCAGCAGGAGAGGGAAGCUUCCAACUUCCUGCAGCGAAUGUCCUAGGUGAUAGGUCAAGUCUGACCCCGCCAGUGAGGCCAACAUGGAAACUUACUAGGGCCUCGAAAAGGUGUGUGUGGGAGUUCAGAGAGGAGUGGAGACAGCCGGCCUCCCAAUCUGGACCCACAGGGCAGGGCAGGGAGAGGAGAUGGCCCCGCCUCCAGGAAUCCAGGCUGCACCUCCCUCCAGGGAACUCAGAUCAAAGCCAGGAGGAAGGAGGAGUGUGAACUUUGCACCCAGUGACUCACUGCAUCCCCCUAGGGCAAGUGCUCUCACCCGUGCAGAAUCCUGCCCUCCUUGCCACUGACGGGACCAUCCGCACUGGGUCAGCCUAUGAGCAACACUGACCUGAUUCACCUGCACGCCUUCAUUCCCCCACCUUCAUCCUCCUCCUCGCAGAGGUGAUCAGAUGUUUGCAGGUGCCUGCCUGUGUUUACAAAAUCCAUCCCAGGAAACCACAUGACAUUUGGUCAUCUGCCAUUGCAUUCCUUUACGUGUAUGAUCAAGGCCCUUCCGGUAACCCGUUGCCUUGGCAAUGUUAUCACCAACCUUUUUUGGAGACAGACCCAGGGGGCCGAUCUUGGGGGCCAGCGCAGAAGCAGCGACUUCACCUCCAGUGCACCUCAGUUUGGAGAAGUUGAGGACCCGUGUGAACCCUGAAAUCAUUCAUGCCCGGGCUCCCCGUUCGCCAGCCCAUGCUGCCCUCUAGUGGUUGUGUGCGCACCUGCCUUUAGGGAGUCCAGGACAGCCGGGACAACCAGCUCAUCUGCAGACAGCAGUGGCCAGCCUUCCCAGGCUGCGCAGGGGACCCUAGGCAGGGACCGUCCCCCUCAGGACCCUUCCAGCACUGCAUGCCUUCACCAGCUCCUCUUCCUGUCUCGCAGCAUCUGGUUUAGAUGCAUAGAUAGAUGUAUUAUAUACGUAUAUUUUAAUUGUGCUAAAAUACAUGUAAAAUUUACCAUCGCAACUAACUGUACGGUUUCAUGGCAUUAAGUACCUUCACACUGUUGGGCAACCAUCACCACCAUACAUCUCCAGAACUAUUUUUUUUUUUAAGACAAAGUCUUACUGUGUCACCCAGGCUGGAAGCGCAGUGGUGCAAUCUUGGCUCACGACAACCUCUGCCUCCUGUGUUCAAGUGAUUCUCCCACGUCAGCCUCCCAAGUAGCUGGAACUACAGGUGCCCGCCACUCCACCUGGCUAAUAUUUUAUUUUAUUUUAUUUUUGAGACAGACUCUCUCUCUGUCGCCCAGGCUGGAGUGCAGUGGCGCGAUCUCGGCUCACUGCAAGCUCCGCCUCCUGGGUUCAGACCAUUCUCCUGCGUCAGCCUCCCGAGUAGCUGGGACUACAGGCGCCUGCCACCACACCCGGCUAAUUUUUUGUAUUUUUAGUGGAGACAGGGUUUCACCCUAUUAGCCAGGAUGGUCUCAAUCUCCUGACCUCGUGAUCCGCCCGCCUCGGCUUCCCAAAGAGCUGGGAUUACAGGCGUGAGCCACCGCGCCCGGCCCCUACCUGGCUAAUUUUUGUAUUUUUAGAGAGACAAGGUUUCACCAUGUUGGCCAGGCUGGUCUCGAACUCUGGCCAGCUUUUUUUUUUUUUUUUUUUUGACAGGGUCUCACUCUGUCACCCAGGCUGGAGUGCGACUUCGACCUCCCAGGCUCAGAUGACCCUCUUACCUUAACCCCUAGAGUAGCUGGAACUACAAGCGCAUGCCACCAUGCCUGGCUAAUUUUUUGUAGAGACAGGGUUUUGCCAUGUUGCCCAGGCUGGUCUUGAAUUCCUGGGCCCCAGCGAUUCGCCUGCCUUGACCUCCCAAAGUGCUGGGGUUACAGGCGUGAGCCACUGCGCCCAGCCUCCAGAACGCUAUUCUCCUUCCCAAACUGAAACUCUGCCCCCAUUAAACACUAAGCUCCUCAUUCCUAUUUCCCCCCAGUUCCUGGAAACCUCUGUUCUACAUUGUCUUUAUGAAUCUGACUAGAUACUCAUAUAAGUGGAAUCAUACAGUGUCUGUCCUUUUGUGUCUGCCUAUUUCACUGAGCACAAUGUUGUCAAGGUGUAUUCACAUUGUGGCAUGUGUCAGAAUGCCAUCCUUUUUUUUUGUUUGUUUUUUUGAGAUGGAGUCUCACUUUGUUGCCCAGGCUGGAGUGCAGUGGCACGAUCUCAGCUCAUCACAACCUCUGCCUCCUGGGUUCAAAUGAUUCUUCUUCCUCAGCCUCCCCAGUAGUUGGGACUACAGGUGUGUGCCACUAUGCCUGGCUAAUUUUUGUAUUUUUAGUAGAGACGGGGUUUUACCAUGUUGGCCAGGCUGAUCUUGAACUCCUGAUCUCGUGAUCCGCCUGCCUCAGCCUCCCAAAGUGCUGGGAUUACAGGUGUGAGCCACCACGUGUGGCCUUUUUUUUUUUUUUUUUAGACGGAGAUCUCGCUCUGUCACCCAGGCUGGAGUGUAAUGGCACGAUCUCGGCUCACUGCAACCUCCGCCUCCUGGGUUCAAGCGAUUCUCCUGCCACAGCCUCCUGAGUAGCUGGGAUUACAGGCGUGCACUACCACAGCUGGCUAAUGGCUAAUUUUUGUAUUUUUAGUACAGAUGGGAUUUCACCAUUUUGGCCAGGCUGGUCUCGAACUCCUGACCUCAAGUGAUCCACCUGCCUCAGCCUCCCAAAGUGCUGGGAUUACAGAUGUGAGCCACCGCACCCAGGCUGCCAUCCUUUUUAAGGUUGAAGAAUCUUCCAUUGUCUGGAGAGACCACAUCUUGUCAUCCGUUCUUCUGUUCAUGGACACUUGGUUCCUUCCCCCUUUUGGCUAUUGCUGGAGUGCAAUGCCGUGAUCUCGGCUAACCACAACCUCCGCCUCCCAGGUUCAAGCGAUUCUCCUGCCUCAGCCUCCCGAGUAGCUGGGAUUACAGGCAUGCGCCACCACACCUGGCUAAUUUUGUAUUUUUUGUAGAGACAGGGUUUCUCCACAUUGGUCAGGCUGGUCUCAAACUCCCAACCUCAGAUGAUCCGCCCUCCUUGGCCUUCCAAAGUGCUGGGUAUAUAGGCAUGAGCCACCACGUCUGGCCUAAGAAGGUUAAAGUCAAAAGCAACACCACUCAGCAGCUGUCCUGAACACGCAUCUCAGGGCCACCCACACAAAUGAGAAUGUCUCCUGCAGCUGCUGCUGCGUCGCCCCCAAUCACAGCUGUAGAUAUAAAGGGAUCGAGUCACUGAACCAUACAAUCACCCCGCUUUCUGACAGCACACAUCCAGAGCAAACCCACACUUCCUUAAAUCUUUCUCCAAAUCCGAUACCAGCACUAACACUGCUUUUGGAGAUGCCCUGGCUUCCCCGUGCUGUGUGGCCUCCCUUGCCACAGCAAGCAUAAUAAACCCAAAUUUGUUGACUGCAGGCGUGUUCCUGGUGGUCUGAUUGACAGGCAUCAACGUGACCAUGGAGGGAGUGACGGCUAGAGAAUUUCAGGGUUCACAAGAUGAAGCCAGUGACUCAUGAACUAAGCUGAAAUCUCUCAGCCUAAUACUUCCCUUUCUCUCACAGCAACUCUCCAUGAUAGAUUAGAACUGUUCCAACUUGGCUGGGCAUGGUGACUCACGCCUGUAAUCCCAGCUAUUUGGGAGGCCAAGGUGGGAGGAUUGCUUGAGCCCAGGAGUUUGAGACCAGCCUGAGCAACAUAGUGGGACUCCAUCUCUAUUUAUUUAUUUAUUUAUUUUGAGAUGGAGUUUUGCUCUUGUUGCCCAGGCUAGAGUGCAAUGGCGCGAUCUCAGCUCACUGCAACCUCCACCUCCCAAGUACAAGGGAUUCUCCUGUCCCAGCCUAUCAAGUAGCUCAUAUUACAGGCAUGUGCCACCAGGCCCGGCUAACUUUUUUGUAUUUAGUAGAGAUGGGGUUUCAUCAUGUUAGUCAGGCUGGUCACGAACUCCUGACCUCAGGCUAUCUACCCGCCUUGGCCUCCCAAAGUGCUGGGAUUACAGGCAUGUGCCACCGUGCCUGGCCUCUUUUUUUUUUUUUUUUGAGACGGAGUCUCGCUCUGUCACCAGGCUGGAAUGCUAUGGCGCAAUCUCGGCUCACUGCAACCUCCGCCUCUCAGGUUUAAGCAAUUCUCUUGCCUCAGCCUCCUGAGUACCUGGGAUUACAGGUGCGCACCAACACACCCAGCUAAUUUUUUUGUAUUUUUAAUAGAGUCGGGGUUUCACCAUGUUGGCCAGGAUGGUCUUGAUCUCUUGACCUCGUGAUCUGCCUGCCUUGGCCUCCCAAAGUGUUAAAAUUACAGGCAUGAGCCACCAC
rnacentral:lncRNA from 10 species